AGGACGAACGCUGGCGGCGUGCUUAACACAUGCAAGUCGAACGAUGAACCAGGAGCUUGCUCUUGGGGAUUAGUGGCGAACGGGUGAGUAACACGUGAGUAACCUGCCCUUGACUCUGGGAUAACCUCCGGAAACGGAAGCUAAUACCGGAUACGAACUGCGAAGGCAUCUUCAGCAGUUGGAAAGAACUUCGGUCAAGGAUGGACUCGCGGCCUAUCAGGUAGUUGGUGAGGUAACGGCUCACCAAGCCUACGACGGGUAGCCGGCCUGAGAGGGUGACCGGCCACACUGGGACUGAGACACGGCCCAGACUCCUACGGGAGGCAGCAGUGGGGAAUAUUGCACAAUGGGCGCAAGCCUGAUGCAGCAACGCCGCGUGAGGGAUGACGGCCUUCGGGUUGUAAACCUCUUUUAGUAGGGAAGAAGCGAAAGUGACGGUACCUGCAGAAAAAGCACCGGCUAACUACGUGCCAGCAGCCGCGGUAAUACGUAGGGUGCGAGCGUUGUCCGGAAUUAUUGGGCGUAAAGAGCUCGUAGGCGGUCUGUCGCGUCUGCUGUGAAAACCCGAGGCUCAACCUCGGGCCUGCAGUGGGUACGGGCAGACUAGAGUGCGGUAGGGGAGAAUGGAAUUCCUGGUGUAGCGGUGGAAUGCGCAGAUAUCAGGAGGAACACCGAUGGCGAAGGCAGUUCUCUGGGCCGUAACUGACGCUGAGGAGCGAAAGCGUGGGGAGCGAACAGGAUUAGAUACCCUGGUAGUCCACGCCG
rnacentral:rRNA from 1 species